AGAAGGGUAGGUCCAGGCCAGUGAAGCAUGCAGUUUCCGAAGGUUUGGUUGCUGACGUAGGUUAAUCUAACCCUCAUGCGCCUUGACCUAGCUACAAAUUCAACCUUCAUCUCCAACUUCCCGGGUCUUUUCCCUCAUUUUUUGGAGCUUGCUAUCGGAGCUUCAAUGGUGAGCGAUAUGAAGAAGGCUGCAUCGGUCUAUCGAGAGCUUCGUGUUUCCAGGUUAGUUCAUUGGCAAGCACACAGCUAUUCUUCAGCUUCUUGUAUACAUCAUUUUCCUCUAUCAUUUCUUACUUGAAAAUACUGUCUUGAUAGUGGGAAGUGUCAGUCUUUGUCAUCACACUAAAGCCUUGUCUCCAUCUUUUGUUAAAACUUCAAAAAAAAAACUUCUGAAUUGUACCAUUUUUUUGUGUUAAUUAAUAUUAGAGAUUUCCUGUUUCAAUACUAAUUAACCAAGUCAAUUACAUCUUGUGUUUUAGAUGUAUUAAAAUCAUAGAAAUCAUAUUGGAUAUAUAUAUAUGUUGUCUAUGAUCACUCUCAACUUUUAAAUUUCAAUCUUUUUUUUAGAUGUUUUAUAAUAUUUUUGCCAUGUAAUUUGCUCUGUUGCUACUAUAAACACAGACAAUGCAACAGUUAUGCUUUGGACUAAUGUAUGUAUGUAUGUAUGUCUUUUUCUCAUAGUGUUUAAUAUGAACGAACAUUCUGAACAACUUGAAUUGAAAGUUACAGUGGCAAAAACUAUUGUUAAAAGCCUACUUGUUCACUUAAUUAGUUAUUUAAAGCAUGGAAUAUAUCUUCCUUUUCUUUGGUUUUUUUAAUUCAAAUAAAAAAACCCAAAAUAAAUUAAUGGAAUUAAAUAUCUGAAAACAUGUCAUAAUUCAGUCCACAUUGGUAUUCGAUAUGACUUGAUUUACUAUUUUACUCUAAGAUUAAAAGGGACCAACAAGAGGUACAAAAUCCACCUAACAAAGAUAGAGACAUUAAGAGCACUUUACUUAGGCUUUCAAAGAGGCUAGGCACUUUGGGUGGGGCUUGGUUUCCUAUAAAAAGCACACAUCACUGUGUGGUUAAGUAUGAGUUUAGGCAUGCAUGCCACCUACUUAAACACAGCAAACUCUCACAUGCUCCCCCUUGGUAUCUGCCAUUCUCAGCUUCCAAAGCCAGCAACCACUAAAAAGUAGUGGUUUUUAACUAAGGUUGCAUUAGUCUUAAGUGUUCGUGAAGAUCAUUAAUUCAACUAAACUUUUUUCUAAUAGAGUUAAUAUAUGAGUAGAAAGUAAAAUUAAAAUCAAAUGCUACUCAAUAUAGCAUUUGACUUACAUAAUUAUUGUACUCUGUAGAAGAAACUAAUUAACAAAUCAAAUAAAUUAUAAUUAAAGCAAUCUACAUUUGAACCAAAGUUACAUAUAAUGAGACUUAUGAUGAAAAUUAAAGAGGAAGAAGUGAGAAGACCUCCAACUUACCAUUGACUAAUUAGUCGAUAUUCACAUAAUUAAAACAUGAACUUUUGGUUUCAUUGUAGAUGAAAUGUUUCUUCUUUUAUAGAAAAUUAUUCAUUUCUAUAUUUUACCACAACAUGCCUCUUAAUUUGUAUGAUUGGUUGGAGCAUAGUCAAGUAAGGAAGGUAUAAAGUUUAUUGGGGAUGUGUAGUACUUUUAACUUGAAAUGUUGCUAUAUUAAUUAAAAACAACAAAAAGAAUACAAUCAAACCCACUUUUCUUGAUCUCCGUAUCCCACUUCCCCUGGCCCCGGAAGACCCCUCCCACUGUUUUCCUAGUUGGAACCAAAAGGAUUAUAAGUAAUUAAUUUAAAUGAAGAAAGAGACGUCAAGGACAAAUAAUUAUAUUAUACAUAAACCUAAACUCACAAUUCACAAUGAUCUUCUCAAUACAACCAGCCAAUUACUUACCUCAUUUGUUGCCCUUCAUUGCAUAUAUUUAUACAUACAUAAUAAUUUCCAUUACUGAACUAAAUGACACACUCUAGUUUUUUGACAUGGAUAUAGUCAUAUUAACAUAGUGGCUCUGCCAAGUGCAAAAUUCUAAUCACCCAAUCUUGCCAACAAUGUUAUAAUAUUCAAAACUAUGAAUUGAAACCAUAUAUAGAUAGAUAGAUAGGUAGGUAGGUAGGUAGGUAGUGCUGCUAAUGAUAUUCAUAGUGCAUUAAUAUCCUUCAGAAAUAAAGUUGGAAACACAUUUCACAAAGAGAAAAACACUUCAACUGAAACCAAAAUUCUUUAUCCAAAGCUUCUCCUUCCUAACUCCUAAAUCCUAAUAAGUGAAUUUAUAUAAUAACAGAUGAUUGUUUCAAUUACUAGUUCUUUUGCAAAAUUUUGGAACCUUUAUCACCUUAUCUUUCUUCCAAAUCUUUUAACAUCAAAACUUAACCAGUGAGUUUAGAAAUGAAUAGUGGAAGAUGCAUGUAAGAGUGAGAUGGCCAAGGAGUAUAACUGCUGCGGUCAAUAAUUAGGUCAAAAAUAAGCUUACCAUGGCAGAGGAUCAACUUAGGAUUUUCACUAAAGCUAACAUUCCAUAUGAAAUAAUUACUAAAGUUCUAGUUUGCAUUGCAUGCAUGUCACUUAAAAACCAAUAUUAUUUUUGGGAAUUUUUUCUAACAAAAAAAAAUGAAAAAUUAAAAGGAAAAAGGAUAGAUAAAUAUAACUAGUGUAAGAUGCGGUUAAAUUAAAACUCCGUAUGAUUCAUAUUUUUGUUAUUUACCUUUUUUAUUUGUCUUUUUUUUUUAUUUUUUUAAGGAACAAAAACCGAUGGUUAUUUUUUUAAAAAAAAAAAGCAUGCAAUUAUCAUAUAUUGAAAAAAAAAAAUAGAGUACCAAUAUGCUGGUGGAUGUCUUUAGCUCAUCACAAGAGACUUUUUCCAGCCUAAAUAACAUUGACAUUCGCUUCCAUACACGCAUUUACACCAAAAAUGUACUCAGCCCACCCAUGUUUACGUGAAAGACCCUACUCCUCCCCUCCCUCCUCACACAUGCAUGCACAAAUUGUAAGUCUCCAUGCUCACCUGUUGACUGUGAGACCCUCGGUUCCCACCCUGCACAAACCGCUCCUCACUCUGCACAUUUAAUGUUAUAUAUUGUAGUUUUAGCCAUGUGUAAAUUAAGACAAUCAGGAUUAUAUCCUUUUAUGACUUUAAACUUCUUUUAUUCCAAUUGUUGGAGAAGAAACUGGCAUUAGACUAGAUGGUUUAGAACCUUGUAAAUCUAUAGUAACUUGGUGUAUCAGUUGCACCAGGAGGUAGCUUGAUAUCAAUGCUUAAAAUAUAAACCCUAUAUACUAACUCAAUCAAACAUUCUACAAACAUGUGAUUGAAAAGUAAGUAAUCAACAUCUGGAUUAUGAGAAUGAAAUUCGAAAUGGCAAGAUGGGAAAAAUUGAGGAAAGCUACAUAUAUCUUGCUUAUAUAUUUAGAAACCAUUGAAAGGAAACCAUAGAAGCAAAGGAAUGUAGCAUUGAAGAAAAUUAGCACUGAUUUUUUUGUAAAAACUACUGAUUUUGAUAGCAUAUAUAUAGAAUAUCAUUUACCUUGAAAAUAACAUUAAAAAAAACCUCAUGUUUCCUAAUAUUUAUUUGCUUCAUGCAUGAUAUUAGUGAUAAAGAACAACCAGGUAAUAUUGAAUAUCUGAUUUUGAUUAGUUAAUCAGUGGGAUAAGGAAUUGAAGAAGCUUAUUAGCUGAAACUGCUAAAAGGGGAAUUCUAAUAUGCACUUAACAAAAAUUUAAAAUAAGCAACCAAUGUUAAAAGAAAUGCCAACAGAACAAAAACAAUGGAACAGUGAGCGCAUGCAUGGUGAUGAACUCCUCAAAAUAGAUGGAGAAAGCUUUAUACUAUCUGAUUAUUGGAAGCAUAGGUUAAAAAUUCAUAUAUAAUUCAGAGAGAAGAAAGAAAUCACAGUUGGAUGAUAGAAUUCACCGCAAGAAAAUUAAACUACCCAUCUUUUUUUUGCUCAAUUUCCUAAUUCCUAUAGGAGAUUACAGAAUUUGAACUGAAGGCUGAUACAUUUUGAAACUGUAAAAACAAUACCAAAAUAAUGUUUUCUUACAACAAAGAGUUCAAUGCAUAACAUUAACACAACCAAGGAUAUUAAAUAAAAAAAAAUAGCAUCACAAGCAUAAAACUAUAAUAAAACCUAUCAUUUCUAUUUUUUUCCCUUUAAAAUGAUAGGUAAAAUCACAACCUUUUAAUUUCAAUAUGCAUCUAGAUAUAAAUUUGCAGCUUUGCUAAGGCUGAUGCUGAUGGUGAUUAAUGAAAGGGUUUUGCUCGUUCCCAAAGGCAACCAUCGAAGACAUGAUUUCAGCUUCCCAAAUGUUGCCAUGAGUAAAGUUCUGAGUAGAUGCUUCUGCUGCUACCACAUUGUUAGGUUGCUGCUGAUUGACAAACAAGUUGUCAUUAAUCAAAGAAUCCAGAAAUGAAGAGAACAUAUCUUCAUUGCAAUUUUCUAUAUAAUCUCCUUCAUUUCCAAGGCUGCUUGGUUGCCCCACGAUAAGAGUAGCACCAUCAGGAUUACGCCGAUUCACCGUACUAUCAACAACCUGUUGGUUUUGAUCAUAUUGCUGAUGAUAUUCCAGGUUAGUUGGCGUAAAAUCUUGGGUAGUGGUUUUAGUAGUCAUGGCAAUAGUAUUUUCUUCUAAUUGAGAAGAAUUAAAGUUUGGGGGGAUAGGGUUUGGUUUUGGGACAGGAGCAUGGUUAACUUGUGAUGAAGUAUGGCUAAUAGGGUUCAAUGGUUUAUGGGUUCUUGGAUCUAUUCCUUGGCUGAUUAGCUUCUUGCUUAAAUGGGUGUUCCAGUAGUUCUUUAUUUCAUUAUCUGUUCGUCCUGGGAUCCUCCCUGCUAUCAAAGACCACCUGAAAAGAGUUCAAACUGUAAAGAACCCAGAAAAAAAAAUCUUUAAAGAAACCCUAAAAAAAAAAAGAAAACCCUCAAAGCUUAGCUUCUUCUACGAAUCUAAAACAUGAUCUCCAAUUCUGAUAACUUGUAAGAUACAAACCCCAGAUAAAAAUUAAUCUAUAUGUGCACGUACUUAACUUAUAUUUUGCACAAAACUUGUUGAAAAACUUUAUGUUUUUAUACAGAGACGGAGAGCUGCACCAUUGAAAAAGCAGAGAAAAACCCAAACAUAAAAAUUGAACGAGACUCGAAACACUUCUGUGAGAACUGAUUUUGAAUUUUUACAGAAUUAGGAGCUACCUGUUUCCAAGCAAGCGGUGUAGCCGAAGAAUGAGAUCUUCUUCAUCAGGAGCGAUACGACCUCGUUUAACUGAUGGUCGGAGAUAAUUCAUCCACCGGAGACGACAACUCUUACCACAUCUGAGUAAGCCAGCUCGCUUAGGCAACGUCCGCCACCUUCCUUCGCCUUCUCUUUUGAUAUAGUUGGCUAAGAGCUCAUCUUCUUCCGGCGUCCAUGGCCCUCUCUUUAUCCCAACUUUGCUGCAACAUGGUGUUUUGCUUGUGGCUGACGUGCCUGAUAAACUUGGGUUCCUCAUGAUUUCUCAAACUAUGCUUCUUUUCUUAAUUUUUCUUUGAUGUUUUUCGUGAUCUUUGGAUUGGCUUUUCUUGUAGGGAAAUGGAAAGAGAGAAAAGGGUUAGGGUUGGUGAUUGAUGAUUGAUGUUGGGAGGUAGUAUAUAAGAGGAAGCAAAAAGAUGAAAGAUGAGAGGAAAAGUGCCAAAUGAGGAAAAGCGAAGGUGGCUAAGAGUAG
rnacentral:lncRNA from 1 species